AGCGAACGCUGGCGGCAGGCUUAACACAUGCAAGUCGAGCGGACCUUUCGGGGUCAGCGGCGGACGGGUGAGUAACGCGUGGGAACGUGCCUUCCGGUUCGGAAUAACCCUGGGAAACUAGGGCUAAUACCGGAUACGCCCUUAUGGGGAAAGGUUUACUGCCGGAAGAUCGGCCCGCGUCUGAUUAGCUAGUUGGUGGGGUAACGGCCUACCAAGGCGACGAUCAGUAGCUGGUCUGAGAGGAUGAUCAGCCACACUGGGACUGAGACACGGCCCAGACUCCUACGGGGGGCAGCAGUGGGGAAUAUUGGACAAUGGGCGCAAGCCUGAUCCAGCCAUGCCGCGUGAGUGAUGAAGGCCUUAGGGUUGUAAAGCUCUUUUAUCCGGGACGAUAAUGACGGUACCGGAGGAAUAAGCCCCGGCUAACUUCGUG
rnacentral:rRNA from 1 species